rnacentral:rRNA from 1 species
AUCGGAACGUGCCCCAGUAGUGGGGAUAGCUCGCGAAAGCCGGAUUAAUUACCGCAUACGACCUGAAGGGUGAAAGCGGGGGAUCUUCGGACCUCGCGCUAUUGGAGCCGCCGAUGGCAGAUUAGCUAGUUGGUGGGGUAAAGGCCUACCAAGGCGACGAUCUGUAGCUGGUCUGAGAGGACGACCAGCCACACUGGGACUGAGACACGGCCCAGACUCCUACGGGAGGCAGCAGUGGGGAAUUUUGGACAAUGGGCGAAAGCCUGAUCCAGCAAUGCCGCGUGUGUGAUGAAGGGCUUCGGGUUGUAAAGCACUUUUGGUGGGAACGAAAGGGACUGUGCCAAUACCACGGUUCGAUGACGUACCCGCAGAAUAACC